GAUGAACGCUAGCGGCAGGCCUAACACAUGCAAGUCGAGGGGUAGCAGGAUUAAGCUUGCUUAAUUGCUGACGACCGGCGCACGGGUGCGUAACGCGUAUGCAACCUACCUUAUACUGGGGUAUAGCCCGGAGAAAUUCGGAUUAAUCCCCCAUAGUACUAAUGAAUCGCAUGGUUUAUUAGUUAAAGCAUUGCGGUAUAAGAUGGGCAUGCGUCCUAUUAGCUAGAUGGUGAGGUAACGGCUCACCAUGGCUACGAUAGGUGGGGGGCCUGAGAGGGUGGUCCCCCACACUGGUACUGAGACACGGACCAGACUCCUACGGGAGGCAGCAGUGAGGAAUAUUGGUCAAUGGGCGCAAGCCUGAACCAGCCAUGCCGCGUGCGGGAAGAAUGCCCUAUGGGUUGUAAACUGCUUUUAUUUGGGAAUAAACCUCUUUACGUGUAGAGAGCUGAAGGUACCAAAUGAAUAAGCACCGGCUAACUCCGUGCCAGCCGCCGCGGUAA
rnacentral:rRNA from 1 species